rnacentral:rRNA from 1 species
GACGAACGCUGGCGGCGUGCCUAAUACAUGCAAGUCGAACGCAGUGGGGACGGGUGAGUAAAACGUGGGUAACCUCCCAUAAGAGGGGAUAAAACUUGGAAACAGGUGCUAAACCGAUACUGAUGGAUGGACCCGUGUGGCAUUAGCUAGUUGGUGGGGUAACGGCUCACCAAGGCCACGAUGCAUAGCUGGCCUGAGAGGGGGAUCGGCCACACUGGAACUGAGACACGGCCCAGACUCCGACGGGAGGCAGCAGUAGGGAAUCUUGUGCAAUGGGCGAAAGUCUGACCGAGCAACGCCGCGUGAAUGAAGAAGGUUUUCGGAUCGUAAAACACUGUUGUUGGAGAAGCGGUACCUGAACAAAAAGCCACGGCUAACUACGUGCAAGCCGCCGCGGUAAUAC